GAGUUCGAUUAUGGCUCAGAUUGAACGCUGGCGGGAUGCUUUUACAUGCAAGUCGAACGGCAGCACGGACUUCGGUCUGGUGGCGGAGAUGGCGAACGGGUGAGGUAAUGUAUCGGAACGUGCCUAGUGGCGGGGGAUAACUGCGCGAAAGCGUAGCUAAUACCACAUCCCUUCGGGGAAAAGCAGGGGCCAUGGGCUCACCCUAUGGGAAGCGGCCGAUAUCGGAUUAGCUGGCGGAUUGGUGGGGUAACGGCUCGCAAGGCGACGAUCCGUAGCUGGUUUGAGAGGGCGACCAGCCUACACUGGGACUGUGAGACACGGCCCAGACUCCUACGAAGAGGAGGCAGCAGUGGGGAAUUGCGGACAAUGGGGAAACCUGAUCCCAGCCAUCCCGCGUCGCGCGAUGAAGGCCUUCGGGUUGUAAAGCACUUUUGGCAGGAAAGAAACGGCCUGGGAUAACCCGUGCAGCGUGACGUACCUGCAGAAUAAGCACCGGCUAACUACGUGCCAGCAGCCGCGGUAUGCUAAGGGGUGCGGCGUUAAUCGGAAUUGGAGGCGUAAAGCGUGCAGGCGGUUCUGGGAAGAAGAUACGAAAUCCCAGAGCUUAACUGGAACUGCAUUUUUAACUACUGAGCUAGAGUGUGUCUUCAGGGUGGAAUUGCGUGUAACCAGUGAAAUGAAUGUGCGGAGGAACCGAUGGCGAAGGCGACUACUGGGAUAUACCCACUGACGCUCAUGCGCGAAAGCGUGGGGGAGCAAACAGGUUGUGAUACCCUGGUAGUCCACGCCCUAAACGAUGUCAACUAGCUGUUGGGGCCUUCGGGCCUUGGUAGCGCAGCUAACGCGUGAGAUUGACCGCCUGGGGAAGUACGGUCGCAAGAUUAAAACUCAAAGGAAUUGACGGGGAUGCUGACGGUGGAUGAUGUGGAUUAAUUCGAUGCACAGCGCGAAAACCUUACCUACCCUUGACAUGUCUGGAAUCCCGAAGAGAUUUGGGAGUGCUCGCAAGAGAACUUGGAACACAGACCACCAUGUGUCGUCAGCUGUGUCGUGAGAUGUUGGGUUAAGUCCCGCAACGAGCGCAGCCCUUGUCGUCAGGUUGCUGAGGGCAUCGGCGGGCGUGCGGUGACAAACCGGAGGAAGGUGGGGAUGACGUCGAAGUCCUCACUUGGCCCUUAUGGGUGAGGCUUCAUGCGUCAUACAAUGGUCGGACAGAGAUCAUGUCAACCCGCGAGGAGCCGUCCCAGAAACCCGAUCGUAGUCCGGAUCACCAGUCUGCCAACUCGACUGCGUGAAGUCGGGACUAACAAUGAAAUCGCGGAUCAACGUAAUAACAGUUGAAUACGUUCGGGUCUUGUACACACCGCCCGUCACACCAUGGGAGUGGGUUUGAAGUAGUUAGCCUAACCGUAAGGAGGGCGAUUACCACGGGCAGGAUUCAUGACUGGGGUGAAGUCGUAACAAGGUAA
rnacentral:rRNA from 1 species